AUAAACCAGUUUUGCUUCGUCAGCGAACUCUUAUUCUGAAGGGUUACAUUAAUGUAUAAUCCAUGUGACUAGUUUCAGCCAAUCGGGUUGCUGCGUUCUCUGACGUGAGAGAGAGAAGAAGCAGAGAGUGCAGAAGCAAACGAGAUUGUGCUGGGGAAAAACAAAAGAGACAGAUAAGAGAAAUUGACCACUCGUUGCUGACUUGCUGUCUAAGACGAGUUUUUUUUUUGUUUUGUUUUGUUUUAUUUCUUGAGAAGGAGCUUUUCGCAUUAUUUUUUUUACCUCACCCUGACUGCGUUCGGGAUCAUCUUUUGUGUGUUGUGGAACUGGACUUGGCUUUUUUUUUUGUGUUUUGUUUUGUUUUGUUUGUCGUUUUCGUUCGGCUGGGAUCUGGACUAAGGAGUCUCGGAUCGUCACUGAACUG